AGAGUUUGAUCCUGGCUCAGGAUGAACGCUGACAGAAUGCUUAACACAUGCAAGUCUACUUGAAUUUGGGUUUUUUAACUUCGAUUUGGGUGGCGGACGGGUGAGUAACGCGUAAAGAACUUGCCUCACAGCUAGGGACAACAUUUGGAAACGAAUGCUAAUACCUAAUAUUAUGAUUAUAGGGCAUCCUAGAAUUAUGAAAGCUAUAUGCGCUGUGAGAGAGCUUUGCGUCCCAUUAGCUAGUUGGAGAGGUAACGGCUCACCAAGGCGAUGAUGGGUAGCCGGCCUGAGAGGGUGAACGGUCACAAGGGGACUGAGACACGGCCCUUACUCCUACGGGAGGCAGCAGUGGGGAAUAUUGGACAAUGGACCGAGAGUCUGAUCCAGCAAUUCUGUGUGCACGAUGACGUUUUUCGGAAUGUAAAGUGCUUUCAGUUGGGAAGAAAAAAAUGACGGUACCAACAGAAGAAGUGACGGCUAAAUACGUGCCAGCAGCCGCGGU
rnacentral:rRNA from 1 species